rnacentral:lncRNA from 1 species
AUCGAUUAUUUUACUGUGCUGAAAAUCGAUUAGCAGUAUCACUAAUCGAUUUUUUAUGGUUUAUGUUCAUUAUGCAGUUUUGUUUAAUAAUUGAUUCCUUAAAUUGCAUAAUCGAUUUCUGUCUCAGCCAUUCAGCAAUGCUUUUCCAAAACACUCGAUUAUUCCACAUUUGACAAUCGAUUAUUUCAUGUCAGAAAUUAAAACUUUUGUUACCGUUUGGCUCCUCAAUCGAUUUGUGUCAGUUCCAAGUCAGGUCAAUAAC